ensembl:snRNA U6 U6 spliceosomal RNA
GUGCUCACUUUGGCACCACAUACACUAAAACUGGAACGAUACGGAGAAGAGUGGCAUGGCUCCUGUGCAAAUUUGGGAAGCGUUCCAUAUUUUU